rnacentral:lncRNA from 1 species
GUUGUUUCAAAAACGAUCCUUGUUCCUACAUGAAUCACCCUCACCGCGAAAACCACCAUCACAAUACUUUCUCCUCCAGCAGCCACUUUCAAAAUACCACUGGAUAAACCCUUCUGUGUUGAAAUCUUGAAACCAACUGUGAAGUAAGUAUUUCUGACAUUGUAAUUCUAAUUUUGGGAGAAACAAUCCUGAUUAUAAUGCAUUUUCACAUCUCUUCCUUGCUUUGGCAUAAUUUUUAUCGUGGAAAUUACCAUUUCAGCUGCCAUUUGUGAGGAUGGAUUAGUCUAUGCAUCUCUAGUUACUCACCAAACCUUUUGAACUCAAAAUACAAACAAAUUGUUAUCUGAUCGAAAAAUUAACUUUUCAAUAACCUUCUAAAUAAUAUGUUCGAUUGUCCUGCUAUUCAGUAAUAAAUGUAUGUGUAAAUUUUUAUGUGAAUGCUUGCUGCCCUGCACUUCUGGAGAUGUGAAUUUGUAGUGGUGGAGCAGUUUGCGUGAUUUUGCAUUGGUGUCUGUAAAUUGUUUGUGCCUAAUCGCAGGAUGAGAGGGGCGAAUUUUGGAGUUUGUCAUAGCUGUAGAAGCACAACGCAUUACUUUAGAGAUUGCCCCAGAAAAUUUCGAUGCCCAUGGUGUUCACGUGAAAUUCAAAAAUGUUUUGAGGUUGGAAAGAACACCAGUAACAAUGACUGAUUAUUCAAAAGUUGUAGUGACGAUUGUGGCUACUUUGAGUGGGUCGAUAAUGAAGAAUUGAGUGGUGAAUCAAGCACCGUUAAUGAAGAAGUGAAUGUUUUGGCCAAUGAGGAAUUCGACGAACUGCCAAGCAUGUUUGAUUCUCUUGCGCGAAUUGCUAACAAACGAGGUGUCGAGAUUUUAGUGAACAUGACAUUUCGUAAAGACAAAGGAAGUACGGAGGAGUAUGGGAAAGAAAAGAGCCAACAAGGCAUGUGUAGUAGCUGCAGGUUGUUUGAAGUUAUUGAAAGUCCAGUGUCCGGUGUUGCUUUGUGUAGUAAUUAGUUAGUUUUUUUUAGGUUGUAUUGUUGAACUUGUGGUUAUCUAUGUUAUGUUUUUUGAAGUCAUGUAAUCAGUUCCAAGUGUUAAUGUGUGGUAACUGUCUUUUUUUAGCUUGUAGUGACGUGUAGUGUAGUUAUGUAAUUAGUUUAUGUUGUAAUCAGUUCCAAGUAAUUACAUGACUGGUGAUUGUUGAGCAUUUUCUGAAGUUAUUUACUCAAGCAUAUGGCUGUUUCACAUGUUCUAUUGGA